rnacentral:rRNA from 1 species
UUGGCCUACGGGGGGCAGCAGUGAGGAAUAUUGGUCAAUGGCCGAGAGGCUGAACCAGCCAAGUCGCGUGAGGGAAGACGGCCCUACGGGUUGUAAACCUCUUUUGUCGGGGAGCAAAGCGAACCACGUGUGGUUCAUUGAGAGUACCCGAAGAAAAAGCAUCGGCUAACUCCGUGCCAGCAGCCGCGGUAAUACGUAGGUGGCAAGCGUUGUCCGGAUUUAUUGGGCGUAAAGCGAGUGCAGGCGGUUCAAUAAGUCUGAUGUGAAAGCCUUCGGCUCAACCGGAGAAUUGCAUCAGAAACUGU